GACGAACGCUGGCGGCGUGCUUAACACAUGCAAGGCGAACGGAAAGGCCCUGCUUUUGUGGGGUGCUCGAGUGGCGAACGGGUGAGUAACAUGUGAGUAACCUGCCCUUGACUUUGGGAUAACUUCAGGAAACUGGGGCUAAUACCGGAUAGGAGCUCCUGUUGCAUGGGGGGGGUUGGAAAGUUUCGGCGGUUGGGGAUGGACUCGCGGCUUAUCAGCUUGUUGGUGGGGUAGUGGCUUACCAAGGCUUUGACGGGUAGCCGGCCUGAGAGGGUGACCGGCCACAUUGGGGCUGAGUUCCGGCCCAGCCUCCUACGGGGGGCAGCAGUGGGGAAUCUUGCACAAUGGGCGGAAGCCUGAUGCAGCAACGCCGCGUGCGGGAUGACGGCCUUCGGGUUGUAAACCGCUUUCGCCUGUGACGCAGCGUGAGUGACGGUAAUGGGUAAAGAAGCACCGGCUAACUACGUG
rnacentral:rRNA from 1 species